rnacentral:rRNA from 1 species
GACGAACGCUGGCGGUGUGCUUAACACAUGCAAGUCGUGCGACGAACCAGACUUCGGUCUGGGGCAAAGCGGCGAACGGGUGAGUAACACGUGGGUAAUCUGCCCCGAUGACUGGGACAACCCGAGGAAACUCGGGCUAAUACCGGAUGUGGUGCCUGGACUCAAGUCCGGUCACUAAAGGUAGCUUCGGCUUCCGCAUUGGGAGGGGCCCGCGGCCCAUUAGCUUGUUGGUGGGGUCAAGGCCUACCAAGGCAACGAUGGGUAGCUGGUCUGAGAGGACGAUCAGCCACACUGGGACUGAGACACGGCCCAGACUCCUACGGGAGGCAGCAGUGGGGAAUCUUGCGCAAUGCGCGAAAGCGUGACGCAGCAACACCGCGUGAGGGAAGACGGCCUUAGGGUUGUAAACCUCUUUCAGAUGGGACGAAGGUGAUGCGGUGAAUAGCCGAUGUCAUUGACGGUACCGUCAGAAGAAGCUCCGGCUAACUACGUGCCAGCAGCCGCGGUAAU